GACGAACGCUGGCGGCGUGCUUAACACAUGCAAGUCGAACGGGCCUGUCUUCUUUUUUGGGGGUGGGUUGAGUGGCGAACGGGUGAGUAUCACGUGAGUAACCUGCCCAUCGGUCCUGGAUAACCGCUUGAAAGGGCGGCUAAUACGGGGUGGUCCGGUUGGUCCGCAUGGGCUGGUCGGGAUAGAUUCACUGUUUUUGGUGUUUCGGCGGGGGAUGGGCUCGCGGCCUAUCAGCUUGUUGGUGGGGUGAUGGCCUACCAAGGCGGUGACGGGUAGCCGGCCCGAGAGGGUGGGCGGCCACACUGGGACUGAGAUACGGCCCAGACUCCUGCGGGAGGCAGCAGUGGGGGGUAUUGCACAAUGGGCGGAAGCCUGAUGCAGCGACGUCGCGUGAGGGAUGGAGGCCUUCGGGUUGUGAACCUCUGUUUCCGGUGGUGAAGGCCCUGUCCGUGUGGUGGGGUUGACGGUAGCCGGGGAUGAAGCGCCGGCUAACUACGUG
rnacentral:rRNA from 1 species